rnacentral:tRNA from 1 species
AGGAUAAUAGUUAACGUUAACAUUUAACUUGCAUUUAAAAAAUAUUGAAAUUUUCAAUUUAUCUUA